UUGUGGUGGUGGUGGAUAUAGGUUGUUAAUUCCCAAUGGACGAGAUGAUCCUUGUGGUGGUGAUAUUUGUAGUGAUGGUUGUGUUUGUGCUGGUGGUGUGGUGUGUGUUGGUAUUGGCUUUUGUACUGGGGGUGGAUACAAGUUGUUAUUAGAAUGAGGUGGUCCUUGUGGUGGUGAUGUUUGUACUGAUGGUGAUAUUUGUGUUAAUGGUGGUGGUGGACGAGGUGAGUUUUGUGGUGAUGGUUGUAGUUGUUGGAAAUAAGUUCUGUUGUAAUCUGGAUGAGGUGAGCCCUGUGGUGAUGGUUGUAUUUGUUGCUGGAAAUAAGUGUUACCAUCCGCUGGAUGAGGUGAUUCUUGUGGCGAUGAUGUCUCUGGAUAAGAACACUUGGUUCUCAAAGGAGGAAGUGAUCCUGGUAGUGGAAAUGAUAACGGCUCUGUCCCACCAG
rnacentral:lncRNA from 1 species